CUAGGUCAGGCAUGGUCACCCGCUGAGUUUAA
rnacentral:rRNA from 1 species